CCUACGGGUGGCAGCAGUAAGGGAUAUUGGUCAAUGGGGGAAACCCUGAACCAGCAACGUAGCGUGAGGGAAGACGGUUUUCGGAGUGUAAACCUCUGUCCUCGGUGAAGAAGAUGACGGUAGCAGAGGAGGAAGCUCCGGCUAACUACGUGCCAGCAGCCGCGGUAAUACGGAGGGAGCGGGCGUUGUCCGGAUUUACUGGGUGUAAAGGGUGCGUAGGCGGCUUGGCAAGUCCGUAGUGAAAUCCAUGGGCUUAACCCAUGCACUGCUAUGGAAACUGUGGAGCUUGAGUGAAGUAGAGGUAGGCGGAAUUCCCGGUGUAGCGGUGAAAUGCGUAGAGAUCGCGAGGAACACCAGUGGCGAAGGCGGCCUACUGGGCUUUAACUGACGCUGAGGCACGAAAGCGUGGGUAGCAAACAGGAUUAGAUACCCGAGUAGUC
rnacentral:rRNA from 1 species